AUAUUUUAUUUUCACAAACAUUAAACAUUUAUGCUAUAAAUAUAAUAUGUUGGUAGAACGGGUUAACAUUAGUAAAUUAGAUAAUUCAUAUAUAAAAUUAACUUAUAUUAAACUUUAUAUAGAUAUAUAUAUAUAUAGUUAUUAUCUUAAAUGAAUAAACAUAAAAAGAAUAUUGAUAGAGGAAAUCCAGCGCUUUGAAUGACAGAUCAUGAUCAUAAUAAUUGAAUAAAAAUAAUUUUAAAAAAUAUAUAAUAAAAAUAUCAAAUAUAUGUGAUGAUUUGAAAUAUCAAUUAACUUACAGCAUGAAAACUAUCAAAUUGGUAUAUUUAAAAUAAUUAUAUUUAAACAUUCAAAUAUAUAAGUAACUUAAAAAAUAUAUUCUAAUUAUGUAAAAUAUAUAUAAACAUGAAAAUUAAUACCCGCACGGUUGUGCGGAUCCAAAUCUAGUUUUCAUUACAUUGGUAAAUGUAAACUUUAAAAACAAAUUAUGCUAUCCAGAAUUCUAUUGGUAGAAAGUUUUGGGAUAUAGUUUAUUAUAAAUUAAUGUAUCAAUAUUCAAUAUUUAAUAUUAAAACUUACAUUUUUUGAAACAGAAAGAGUAUCUAUUUUUUUCUUAAUAUGUGUAUUUAAUUAUCUGUCACUUCGCAAAAGCCUGACUUAGAUCUGAAAAAUCUACAUAUCCAAAAACUUUCAAAGGUCUUCAAAAGAGAGAAAAAAAUCAAAAAUAAAUUUUAUGUUUAAAUAAUAAAUAAAAUAGUCACAUUAUGUUGAAUAUAUAACUUUUUAGAAUCUAACAUAUAAAACAGAAAAACACAUAACCAAAAUUUAUAGAUCUACCUUUAAAAGAUUGGAAGAUAAGAACCAUGUAAUUAAAAACCUACAAAAACAAGAUAAAUUAGUGAGAAGUACAUGACACAAAAAUGACAAAUUGAUAACAAGUUCAAAAAUAUUAAAGAGAAGUUGAAAAAUUUUAAAGGGAAAAAAUGUGUAAAUUUUCUAUAUAUAGGAGACAAAAAAAUCAAUUUGGUUAAAUUUUUUUUUUUUUUGAUAAAAAGUUUUCAAUUAAAAGCAUAAGAGAGAAAAUUAUACAAGCAAAGCUUAGAGCAUGUUUAUUGGUGCCUCUUAAGAGGGGUUGUUAGCAUAAAUGAGAAUUAAAAUAAAAGAAAAAAAUGUGAUUAAAGCAGGAGACGCCCCUUAAUUAGGAGCACGAAGGGACGGGUCUUAGCUGCCACGUGUCGCAUUACUACUGGGAGGAAAGGAGCGGUGUCGUCUCGACGGUGAAUUUUUUUUCUCUCUGUCCUUGGGUUUCUCUUCUCUCCUGCGAAAGGUGAUUCAGUGGCGGGCUCUAUCGGUUGGUCUCGCUCUAAUCGUCGUUACAUCUCUUCUUACUCUUAUCCUCCAUCGUCUUCUCCACUAUUGUCUCCUCUCGGUUUCAAGCUUCUCUUUGGUCAAACAACAGGUAAGCUCGUAUCUCUUCUCUAGAUCUAUAGUAAUACGAUGUGCGAAUCAACGAUUUGAUGUUCCUGAUGCAAAAUUUUCAAUCCAGAAUUGAAAUUUCAAAAAAAAAAUUUGGUUUCUUGAUUGAAAAUCAGAAUGAUGAAUCUCUGUUGUGUUGUUGUUAUAAGGUCUGGUGAGCAAGCGUGUACUGCUUAUGUGAUGUUCAAGGAUUCUUAUUCUCAAGAAACUGCAGUUUUCAAUUUGCGAGCCAUUUCUCGGUGAAUAGAAUUCAGUGUACUCGGAAUCGGACGAGGAGUGGAGCGAGUAGGGCGACGUUUCAUUCUGCGUUCACUGGCACUAACAAUUCAGCUUCUCUCUCUUCUAAGGGUACCUCCACGAGGGAGAUAUGGAGCUGGGUGAAAUCAAAGACAGUUGGCCAUGGAAGAUACAGAAGGAGCGAAGUGAGAGCGGAGAUGUUUGGUCAACUGAGUAGUGGACUCGAGGCUGCUUGGACCAAACUCAAAGGAGAAGAUGUCAUGACGAAGGAAAAUAUUGCUGAGCCAAUAAGCAGUUUGUUUAAAAUGUACUUGUUUCAUAGUCUUGUAGUCUUGUAUCAGGAGAUAGAGGUCAGGUGUUAUAGUCUUGUGUCUGUAUGUAUUCGCGAGACACACUCAUCCUCUCUAUCUUUCAUCUCAAGUUUUAUCUCCAUCCUCUCUAUCUUUCAUCUCACGUUCUUUCCCUUCUGUUUCCAUAUCUGAAACAAUUUAUAUUUUAUAAACAAGAAUCUAAAACAAAUCUUGGAUGGCUUCCUCUUCUCAUCACAAUUUUUGAUCAAUAUUUUGAUCAAACUUUCGAUCAAACAUUUGAGAAUUUGUUCAAUCAUUUUUAUUGUUAAGAACUUUUAUUAAGAAACUACCAAUAAACCAUUAUUAUUAAGUGUCUCUUAACAAAGUCUCUGAUCUUAAUUUUAAUAGUUAAAAAUUCACUAAGGCCCACUUAAAAACCUGUCAAAAAAGAUAGAUUAGUGAGAAAUACAUGAGACAAAAAUGAAAAAAUCAUAUAAAGUUUGGUAUUUUCAAGUCAAAGAGAUUAUAGUGGGUUUGAAGAGUUUUAGUUUAGAAAAAAAGUAAGAUUUUAUACAACAGAAAGUUACCAAAUGAAGAAAAAUCAAACAUAAAAACUUAUCAAAACGCUCAGAUCUAUUAUAUAAAAGAGAGAGACAUGGGAGAAAGACUCCGUCAGACGAUUUCCAAGAAGUCCAGACGACCUCUUGGAAGUCGUCUAGCGCAUUAUAUUUUAGAUGACUAACAGGUAAGUCGUCCCAGACGUCUUCCAGAUCUGAAAAACCUGCAUAUCCAAAUCCAGAUCUGAAAAACCUGCAUAUCCAAAAACGUUCAAAUGACUUAAAUCAGAGAAAAUUAGUGGAAGAUUAGAUAAAUCUAACAUUAUUGAACACACAAAAAUACAUAUCUAAAAUUGAUAGAUCUACCUUUAAAUGAGUGGAAUAUGAGAACCAUCUGAUUAAAAACAUGCAAAAACAAGAUACAUUAGUGAGAAAGAAAUGAGACACAAACAAUAAAUUGAUAUAAACCUUAAUGUUUAUAAGCUCAAAGAGAUUAGAGAGAGGUUGAAAAGUUUUAGAAUGAUUAACAUUACAUUUUUGUUGUAGCCAUUUGAGAGAAUGAAAGAGAAUGUGUAAUUUUUUCUUUAUAUAGGGAGACAAAAAAUCCAAUUAGGUUAAAUAUUUUUGAUUUAGACGACUUCCUAGACGACUUACUUGUAAGUCACCGAGAAGACUUUAAUAUUUUUAGCGGGAAUCUAAAAUAUUUUUAGCGGGAAACUAAAAUAGAAGACUUCCUAGAUGACUUACAAGUAAGUCGUCUGGUUUAAAUUAUUUAAGCGGAAAAUUAAUUUUCUUAAAAAUUUUAGGCGGAAAUAUUUGGACGACUGAAUUAUAAGCCGUAUGCGUAAUAUUAUUCACCAGACGAUUGAAAUAUAAGUCGUCCACACCCUAAACAUAACCCCUAAACUUAAUUAUCUAAUUAAACACUUCAUAAAAUCAAAUUAAACUUGAAAAGUGUUUACUAUACACAAAAAUAAACACAUACAUGUGAAAAUUAAUUUUUCAAAAAAACAUUUCAGCUUUCCAAAAUCUAACCUUAAUAAUACAUAUAUACUACAACAUAUGUUUGCCAAACCCCUAAACCAAAGAAUAUCAUGAUUCACUACUUCCACUUAUCUAUCUUCAAAACAAAUCAAUGUUAUCAUAUCUUAAUUUAUAUUACUUAAAACUGUUUAUAAUUACAUGAUUUUUAUUUUUCACUCAUCAAAGUAUUUUUUACAAAAUUUAUAAAUUAUUUUUAAGGUAAACUGGUACCAAUACUUCCUAGGCCUGGGCGUUCGGUGUACCAUUCGGGUUCGGAUUGGGUGAAACGGGUUAUCGGUCUUUCGGAUCUAAGGAUAUAAACACCAUUCGGUUUAUUUGAUUUUUCGGUACAUUCUCGGUUCGGAACUCUUCGGGAUCGGUUCGGUUCGGAGGAUGAUUUCAAGAUCCGUGAAAACCCGAAGUAUAAAUGGUUUCGGUUCGAGUCCGGUUUAUUGUAACCAAAGCAACCGAAAGAAAAAAAAA